rnacentral:rRNA from 1 species
CCUAACACAUGCAAGUCGAACGGUAACAGGAAGAAGCUUGCUUCUUUGCUGGCGAGUGGCGGACGGGUGAGUAAUGUCUGGGAAACUGCCUGAUGGAGGGGGAUAACUACUGGAAACGGUAGCUAAUACCGCAUAACGUCGCAAGACCAAAGAGGGGGACCUUCGGGCCUCUUGCCAUCGGAUGUGCCCAGAUGGGAUUAGCUAGUAGGUGGGGUAACGGCUCACCUAGGCGACGAUCCCUAGCUGGUCUGAGAGGAUGACCAGCCACACUGGAACUGAGACACGGUCCAGACUCCUACGGGAGGCA